rnacentral:rRNA from 1 species
GACGAACGUUGGCGGCGUGCUUAACACAUGCAAGUCGAACGGAAAGGCCCUGCUUUUGUGGGGUGCUCGAGUGGCGAACGGGUGAGUAACACGUGAGUAACCUGCCCUUGACUUUGGGAUAACUUCAGGAAACUGGGGCUAAUACCGGAUAGGAGCUCCUGCUGCAUGGUGGGGGUUGGAAAGUUUCGGCGGUUGGGGAUGGACUCGCGGCUUAUCAGCUUGUUGGUGGGGUAGUGGCUUACCAAGGCUUUGACGGGUAGCCGGCCUGAGAGGGUGACCGGCCACAUUGGGACUGAGAUACGGCCCAGACUCCUACGGGAGGCAGCAGUGGGGAAUAUUGCACAAUGGGCGGAAGCCUGAUGCAGCAACGCCGCGUGCGGGAUGACGGCCUUCGGGUUGUAAACCGCUUUCGCCUGUGACGAAGCGUGAGUGACGGUAAUGGGUAAAGAAGCACCGGCUAACUACGUGCCAGCAGCCGCGGUGAUACGUAGGGUGCGAGCGUUGUCCGGAUUUAUUGGGCGUAAAGGGCUCGUAGGUGGUUGAUCGCGUCGGAAGUGUAAUCUUGGGGCUUAACCCUGAGCGUGCUUUCGAUACGGGUUGACUUGAGGAAGGUAGGGGAGAAUGGAAUUCCGGGUGGAGCGGUGGAAUGCGCAGAUAUCAGGAGGAACACCAGUGGCGAAGGCGGUUCUCUGGGCCUUUCCUGACGCUGAGGAGCGAAAGCGUGGGGAGCGAACAGGCUUAGAUACCCUGGGUAGUCCACGCUGUAAACGGUGGGUACUAGGUGUGGGGUCCAUUCCACGGGUUCCGUGCCGUAGCUAACGCUUUGAGUACCCCGCCUGGGGAGUACGGCCGCAAGGCUAAAACUCAAAGGAAUUGACGGGGCCCCGCACAAGCGGCGGAGCAUGCGGAUUAAUUCGAUGCAACGCGUAGAACCUUACCUGGGUUUGACAUGGAUCGGGAGUGCUCAGAGAUGGGUGUGCCUCUUUUGGGGUCGGUUCACAGGUGGUGCAUGGCUGUCGUCAGCUCGUGUCGUGAGAUGUUGGGUUAAGUCCCGCAACGAGCGCAACCCUUGUUCACUGUUGCCAGCACGUUAUGGUGGGGACUCAGUGGAGACCGCCGGGGUCAACUCGGAGGAAGGUGGGGAUGACGUCAAGUCAUCAUGCCCCUUAUGUCCAGGGCUUCACGCAUGCUACAAUGGCUGGUACAGAGAGUGGCGAGCCUGUGAGGGUGAGCGAAUCUCGGAAAGCCGGUCUCAGUUCGGAUUGGGGUCUGCAACUCGACCUCAUGAAGUCGGAGUCGCUAGUAAUCGCAGAUCAGCAACGCUGCGGUGAAUACGUUCCCGGGGCU